UUCUGUAAGCCUGUGAAGGUGAGUUGAGAAGCUUGCUGGAGGUAUCAGAAGUGCGAAUGCUGACAUGAGUAACGACAAUGGGUGUGAAAAACACCCACGCCGAAAGACCAAGGGUUCCUGCGCAACGUUAAUCGACGCAGGGUUAGUCGGUUCCUAAGGCGAGGCUGAAAAGCGUAGUCGAUGGGAAACAGGUUAAUAUUCCUGUACUUCUGGUUACUGCGAUGGAGGGACGGAGAAGGCUAGGCCAGCUUGGCGUUGGUUGUCCAAGUUUAAGGUGGUAGGCUGAAAUCUUAGGUAAAUCCGGGGUUUCA
rnacentral:rRNA from 1 species